UAGGCGGUGAUUGCUGCUCCUGCGUUAGGCGGUGAUUGCUGCUCCUGCGUGUUGCUUGUGCUGUGCAGGGGCUGGUGUUGCUCUUUUUUGGUGUUGUCAUCUUUGUUUGAAGUUAGAAGGUUCAAUCACGGUCUCAUCUACAGUGUUUUUACGGUUGAUCAAAUGGCGAAUGGCAAUAGAAAGAACAAUACCGUAUGGCUUUAUCCACAAGCGAGGAAACAAUAUAAUUCAAAUGACUGUGGAUACUAUGUAAUGAAAAAUAUGUUGGACAUUGUCACUGCUAAGAUAACUGAUUCUUGGAUGGAGGUAUUUAAUGACCCAAAAGAGUUAACAGCUGAGGAGAUGUAUGAAUUGCGAUUACGUUGGUCAACAUAUUUUUUGGAGUUAUUGGAGGGUUAAGAUUUAUCUGGGUGAUGAAUUGGUUAUUAGCUUUAGUUUGAGUCUUGGAAGCAGAUCAGGUGAUGGAAUUGGUAUUUUGGCUCGGAUGUGCAUCUCACUGUUUUGGACUGUUUAUUUUGGACUAUUUUAGGAUGGUUUUAUAUGAAGGAAU